AUUGAACGCUGGCGGCAUGCUUUACACAUGCAAGUCGAACGGCAACACGGGGGCAACCCUGGUGGCGAGUGGCGAACGGGUGAGUAAUACAUAGGAACGUAUCCUGAAAUGGGGGAUAGCUCGGCGAAAGCCGGAUUAAUACCGCAUACGAUCUACGGAUGAAAGCAGGGGAUUCGCAAGAACCUUGCGUUUCUGGAGCGGCCUAUGUCUGAUUAGCUAGUUGGCGGGGUAAAAGCCCACCAAGGCGACGAUCAGUAGCUGGUCUGAGAGGAUGAUCAGCCACACUGGGACUGAGACACGGCCCAGACUCCUACGGGAGGCAGCAGUGGGAAUUUUGGACAAUGGGGCAACCCUGAUCCAGCCAUGCCGCGUGAGUGAAGAAGGCC
rnacentral:rRNA from 1 species